AGAUAUUCCUGGAUGCCCAACCCUCAGACACUGUAUACAGGAUCGAACUAGGGACCUUGUACUUGCGUAGCAGGCACCGGAACCACUGAGCUAAAUCCCCGGCCCCAAAAAUGCAUUCUUAAAGGCAGAAGUUUCUGUUGCUCUCCUUGAUCCUCAAAGCAACUAUGGAAGAUUUCCUAUUCCAGCAAUGCCAUCACAGUGUUUCCCCCUCUGGAUGCCCUUCCUACUGUUUGAAUCUGAUGCUUGUCUCACAGUGAGGGUUUCUGACGUCAGGGCCUGGAACCUGGAUAGCAGAUUGAUCCAUGAUAGCGCUGUGAGACUGAGCCAGUGCAGGCAGGGCCUCUGAGACUUGGAAAGCUGGAUCAUAAAAGAUAGCAGAGGUCCUGCCUGUGGUUUUGAUACUCACUCUUAGAACUCAACUACCGAUACAAAGAAGUCCAAACCAACUCGAGUUGGAGGCCCCUGGCAAGUUCCCCCUCCUGCGACCCAGCUGAGGCCCUAGCCAACAGCAGUAUUAAUGGCCAACUGUGUGGAUGAAGAAGCCCCUGAGGGGCCCGCCUCCCAGGACAUGGGCUGCCUCCAGCCUUUGAGUCUUCCCAGCCGAAGCUUCGAAUGUCUUGGAGCAGAAACAAUCUAGAGCAUUCUGCUGUGUUUGGAUUCCUGACCUGAAGAAUCUAUGGAUGGCAUUCACCUGAACUGCUUCACAGAGGAGAUCUCCAAGUGAUGGUGAGGAACGGCAACCACUUAGCAUCCAUUCGAGCCAGACUACGCACUCACGCGAUGGACAGUUCCCCUGGCGCCUCAGGCUCCAGCAUUGAGUGCAUCUUUGGCGUCUCUCUGUUUUUCUAAACCAAGCAAAUGCAACAUCGAAGUUCAAAGAGACAUUGUACACUGGGUGCAAAUCCUGAACCAGCAGAAGAUGAGAAUCGGUGGGCGAAUGACCCUGAAUCCGUUUGUGAGGUCAAUUCUGGGUCUCCUCAGAGGUUUGCACAUAGGACCCAGCAGACUGUUCAACAGCUCCUGUGAAUGCUUUUAAUGGUUUAAAUACUGUACUUAUUAUCCCUUUCUUUAUACCCUCAGUUUUACUCCAUAGGAUCAUCUUUCAAAUAAACCACCAGCACCUACAACCUUGUCCCGGGCUCCACUUCUAGGAUGAACUCAAACUAAGACAAGUUAUGGAGUUAGGGUUUCUCAGGAAAGGUUGUAUUUAGAGACAAGUACCCUCCUUAUUAGAAAUAUUAAUGUGCUGGAAGCCUCAAAGUUCCAGCCUGCUUCACUGACAGUGAUCUAGUGAAAUUUACAUAGCUGCUUCUUAUUUCUAUAAUCAGAAAAAGAUUAAAUAGGUCUCAUUUUUCUGGAAAUACAGAAUUGUACGAUUCCUAUUUCUGUAUGAGAACUCGUUUCUUUUCUCCUUGAUCCACAAAUUAAACUUACAGCUAUAGGACAACCAUAUUAAUUUUUUAAACGCAGUAACAUUUUGACUAAAUCUUCUAAGAAGUAAUUAUCCUGUUUUCAUUAAUGCUAAUAUAUUAUUGCAGAAACAUUUUUUUUUUUUAAACACAACUAAAAAGCCCAAGAAUGUCAAGGGCUGGUAAAACCAUGUGGUAGAUUAACUGAUGGUCAGU
ensembl:lncRNA